CAGUAGCCGCGGUAAUCCGGAGGGUGCAAGCGUUAAUCGGAAUUACUGGGCGUAAAGCGCACGCAGGCGGUUUGUUAAGUCAGAUGUGAAAUCCCCGAGCUUAACUUGGGAACUGCAUUUGAAACUGGCAAGCUAGAGUCUUGUAGAGGGGGGUAGAAUUCCAGGUGUAGCGGUGAAAUGCGUAGAGAUCUGGAGGAAUACCGGUGGCGAAGGCGGCCCCCUGGACAAAGACUGACGCUCAGGUGCGAAAGCGUGGGGAGCAAACAGGAUUAGAUACCCGCGUAGUCCCUGUCUCUUAUAC
rnacentral:rRNA from 1 species